AUAUUAUAUAUAUAUAACAAAAGAAAGAAUGGAAAUGAGAAAGAAAGAAACAGAGAGCAAAACGAAACAGAGAAGGGAGAAAGAAGAAAAAGAAAGAGCGACGGUUUAGGGGUUUCAAAACUUCUAAAUUCAAUUGCUAAUGUCGUGUACGAGUCAUUGUCCGAGAAAGGAAAGGAGAAGGUGGACAAGGAUUGACUCGGGAGAAAUUUCGGAUUGUAGAAAACCAGUGUUCGAUCCAGCAUCCAAAGUAAUCCCGACCUCAGAGACAUUUUAGUGAUGUACCUUUCUGUUGAUAAUGUGGCAUGUACCUAAGUAAUGUACAUACCUAGGUAAUGUAUAUACCUAAGUGAUGUAUAGGGAUUAGUCAUUUUGAAUGUUGUAUCUAUGAUAUUGCUAAAGAAAGAUGUGUGGGUAUGUGAUAAUGUUUGGCUUUUAAAAUGGUUAAGUAUGAAAAUCAAGAAAGGGUAAAUUUUGCAAAGAAACAGAAUUCAGACAGCAACAGCGACGUAACUUUGAAAAAUCACCUAAGAUAGUAUAAAAUGAAUUAGAGGGUGAAUAAUAUAUGAAAUUAAAGAUUAUCGAGUCUAUUUUUAUAGAAAAAUAACGGUUUAGCAAAAAGAAUUUUAUAUUUUAAGAUAUAUGAAUUUUAACGAGACAGGGUCAGAUCUGUUUCUGGAGUCCUCUGUUCCGAGUUUAGAAAAUCACUAAAACUGGUACAAAAAUAGUUAUGAGUUUUAGUUUAUAUGUAUUGAAUCCUUAUUGAGUCUAUUUUCUGUAGAAACAAGUGGUAAUAUCAUGUGAAAAUACUAUAAUGAGAAAAAUUAUUUUUAGUGGCAAGAGGUCAGGACAGUCGAUUGAAGAAACAGGGGAGACUUUAACUAAUAAACUGUACUAAUUGGCCAAAUCAAAAAUUCUGAAAAUUUUAUGGUAGAAAGAUAUAUGAGUCUAGUUUCAGGGAAAAUUUACGGAAUUAAAUUUCGAGUCCCGUAGCUCGAGUUAUAAUCAAUUUAGUAACUGCUGCGCGAUUGGGCAGAUUACUGUAAACAGUGAAAUAAAUUUUCAAACCAAAUUUUUAUGCUCCGAAUUGGUAAAAUAAGCUCAGUAACGCCUCGUGCUCGACUCCGGCAAAGGUCUCGGGUAAGGGGUGUUACAUUCUCCCUCUUUUUUCAUGCCCAGGUCUCUCCCUCACUGGAAGUGCUAUUGCUCACAUUGAUAUUGGUUUAUUAGGGUUUUUGUUUGUUUUUGAAGGAUAAACCAGUGAAGUUAAUCUCAUGUUGAAGAUCUUCAAGAAGAAAACAUCUCCCAAAGGUAUUUUAGAUUUGAUUCCAUCGUUGCUUUCUUGCUCUCUUUUUUCUUUUUCCUGCAUUUUGCGGUCAUUCUCUAAUUGCUCACUUCCUCUGUUAUGUGGUCAUUGGUUUGUGGCACAACACCAUGUAUGAUAUGUGGUUCAGGAGAAAUUGAAAGAGCCUUAUUGAAAUACUUGGGGGUUGAGCGCAAUGAGGUAACAAAGGACGGUUUAUUCUCUGUUGGAGAAAUGGAAUGUAUGGUAAGUCUUUCCCUUUACAUGUUUACUUCUUUUUUUUCUCCAUAAUGCCAAAUUUUAUUAGAAAAUCUAUUUAUGCUAACCUUUUUUUCCUUAAUCACUCU